rnacentral:rRNA from 1 species
GUCCAGACUCCUACGGGAGGCAGCAGUGGGGAAUAUUGCACAAUGGGGGAAACCCUGAUGCAGCAACGCCGCGUGAGUGAAGAAGUAUUUCGGUAUGUAAAGCUCUAUCAGCAGGGAAGAAGAAAGACGGUACCUGACUAAGAAGCCCCGGCUAACUACGUGCCAGCAGCCGCGGUAAUACGUAGGGGGCAAGCGUUAUCCGGAUUUACUGGGUGUAAAGGGAGCGCAGACGGCAGUGCAAGUCUGGAGUGAAAGCCCGGGGCCCAACCCCGGAACUGCUCUGGAAACUGUGCGGCUAGAGUACUGGAGGGGCAGGCGGAAUUCCUAGUGUAGCGGUGAAAUGCGUAGAUAUUAGGAGGAACACCAGUGGCGAAGGCGGCCUGCUGGACAGUAACUGACGUUGAGGCUCGAAAGCGUGGGGAGCAAACAGGAUUAGAUACCCGAGUA